rnacentral:lncRNA from 1 species
GCCCAGUCUGGGAUAUUGGUACAGGGCUCCCCUUAGAGGGCACCAUGCAAACAGCUGUUCUCAGCAAGCCAAAAAACUUUGGCACAGACAGACUUCUGCUUUCAUGGCAAAUCCCUGUAUGAACUCCCAGGAUCUGGAAGGUUUCCUGAAGGUUCCCCCCUUCACUGUCUCCACAGGUCUUUUAUGCCACAUUUUCCAGGGAGAAAGGCAACAUGUUCCUACCCUUUCGCUUCGAGAGCGAGCAGAGCUUCAGACCAACCAGCACUUAGGCAUAUGCUUAACUGAAAGCACACCAGUACUCCACCAAAGGAUGCACACAACCAAAAGCUAACAACAAGCAUUUGGCUUCAGCAGAUCCAGAAGGAUGAAUUUCUCACCUGGGAUUUCAGCCUCUGUGACAAGAUGAAGGAGAUUUCACUGCAGCUCAACGUUAUCUGGGCUCCAGAUAUCGUCAAUGAUUUGCAAGUUUGCCAUUAGGUUUGUCAUUUCCUUGCAAGAAUUGGCUUCCUAUGUUUAAACAGGAGCAGUUGAAAGCCUUCCUUUCCACUCUGAUGCAGAACCUGCCCCCACAAUACGAAGGCUUCAGGCUCAGCUAGCUCUUGCUCAAGUUGAACGAACACCUGAAAAAGGAGGCAUCCAAAAAUUCAUCCUUCCUUUAGGAAUCUUGGCCCCUGCCUUCCUUGUAAUUGUGCCUGUGCCUCCUCUGUGAUGAUCUAGCCCCCUCUGUGCCCCACUGCUCCUGCAAAACUCUGUCCUUUCCAGCAUGGACAUCAGGAAGGCUCCUGAGCUGCCCUAUGUCCACAUCAACACUACUGGGACAGUCAGGAGCUACUGGCCACAGCAGCAGCUCACAGCCCCUCCGCCCACAGGCACAGAGGUGGUGUUAAUUCCCAGGUGAUGAGUGCAUGCCACUGCUCUCUCCAGGCCUGUCCCACACUCGCUAUCCUGGGGACUCACCUUCCUAGCAGCUAGUCAGCCCUAAGGCUGAGCCCGUGGACCCUCUCCCCGGAGCGCAGGGGGCUGGCAAGGAGCUGCUCCGUGCUCGCCGCGAGGAGAGCGGGCUGUUGUUUUGAUGAGCUUCUUGACUAAGGCUUAAACACUUCAUUAAUUUUAAAGAUAUCAGCUUGCGACACAUUACCAGAGCGGCAGGAAAUAAUGAAGAACAUUUGGCCCCCUGGCCGCAGCUUCGGCUGGGCACCACGGGCUUGCCCGGGACACCUGAAAAAAGAGAAAGGGGAUUUCUCAGCAAAAUCUGUUCAAAUUUUUUAAAUCAAAAGCUAACAGCCUUCUCAGCCCAACUUAACCUUUCCAAUUUCCCCAAAAUCUUUCUCAUUUUCCUCUGUAAAAGGAAGGG